rnacentral:rRNA from 1 species
GACGAACGCUGGCGGCGUGCUUAACACAUGCAAGUCGAACGGAAAGGCCCUGCUUUUGUGGGGUGCUCGAGUGGCGAACGGGUGAGUAACACGUGAGUAACCUGCCCUUGACUUUGGGAUAACUUCAGGAAACUGGGGCUAAUACCGGAUAGGAGCUCCUGCUGCAUGGUGGGGGUUGGAAAGUUUCGGCGGUUGGGGAUGGACUCGCGGCUUAUCAGCUUGUUGGUGGGGUAGUGGCUUACCAAGGCUUUGACGGGUAGCCGGCCUGAGAGGGUGACCGGCCAACUUGGGACUGAGAUACGGCCCAGACUCCUACGGGAGGCAGCAGUGGGGAAUAUUGCACAAGGGGCGGAAGGCUGAUGCAGUAACGCCGCGUGCGGGAUGACGGGCUUCGGGUUGGAAACCGCUUUCGCCUGUGACGAAGCGUGAAUGACGGUAAUGGGUAAAGAAGCACCGGCUAACUACGUG